rnacentral:rRNA from 1 species
AGAGUUUGAUCCUGGCUCAGGAUGAACGCUAGCUACAGGCUUAACACAUGCAAGUCGAGGGGCAGCAUGGUCUUAGCUUGCUAAGGCCGAUGGCGACCGGCGCACGGGUGAGUAACGCGUAUCCAACCUGCCUUACACUCUUGGACAGCCUUCUGAAAGGGAGAUUAAUACAAGAUGUUAUCAUGAGUAAGCAUUUUCGCAUGAUUAAAGGUUUACCGGUGUAAGAUGGGGAUGCGUUCCAUUAGAUAGUAGGCGGGGUAACGGCCCACCUAGUCUUCGAUGGAUAGGGGUUCUGAGAGGAAGGUCCCCCACAUUGGAACUGAGACACGGUCCAAACUCCUACGGGAGGCAGCAGUGAGGAAUAUUGGUCAAUGGACGAGAGUCUGAACCAGCUAAGUAGCGUGAAGGAUGAAGGUUCUAUGGAUUGUAAACUUCUUUUAUACGGGAAUAAACGAAUCCACGCGUGGAUUUUUGCAUGUACCGUAUGAAUAAGGAUCGGCUAACUCCGUGCCAGCAGCCGCGGUAAUACGGAGGAUCCGAGCGUUAUCCGGAUUUAUUGGGUUUAAAGGGAGCGUAGAUGGGUUGUUAAGUCAGUUGUGAAAGUUUGCGGCUCAACCGUAAAAUUGCAAUUGAUACUGGCAGUCUUGAGUACAGUUGAGGUAGGCGGAAUUCGUGGUGUAGCGGUGAAAUGCUUAGAUAUCACGAAGAACUCCGAUUGCGAAGGCAGCUUACUAACCUGUAACUGACAUUGAUGCUCGAAAGUGUGGGUAUCAAACAGGAUUAGAUACCCUGGUAGUCCACACGGUAAACGAUGAAUACUCGCUGUAGGCGAUAUACAGUCUGCGGCCAAGCGAAAGCAUUAAGUAUUCCACCUGGGGAGUACGCCGGCAACGGUGAAACUCAAAGGAAUUGACGGGGGCCCGCACAAGCGGAGGAACAUGUGGUUUAAUUCGAUGAUACGCGAGGAACCUUACCCGGGCUUAAAUUGCAACCGAAUAUGGCGGAAACGCUAUAGCUAGCAAUAGCGGUUGUGAAGGUGCUGCAUGGUUGUCGUCAGCUCGUGCCGUGAGGUGUCGGCUUAAGUGCCAUAACGAGCGCAACCCUUGCCGAUAGUUACUAACAGGUCAUGCUGAGGACUCUGUCGGGACUGCCAUCGUAAGAUGUGAGGAAGGUGGGGAUGACGUCAAAUCAGCACGGCCCUUACGUCCGGGGCUACACACGUGUUACAAUGGGGGGUACAGAGGGCUGCUACCACGCAAGUGGAUGCCAAUCCCAAAAACCUCUCUCAGUUCGGAUUGAAGUCUGCAACCCGACUUCAUGAAGCUGGAUUCGCUAGUAAUCGCGCAUCAGCCACGGCGCGGUGAAUACGUUCCCGGGCCUUGUACACACCGCCCGUCAAGCCAUGGGAGCCGGGGGUACCUGAAGUGCGUAACCGCAAGGAGCGCCCUAGGGUAAAACUGGUGACUGGGGCUAAGUCGUAACAAGGUAGCCG